UCUGACCUGGAGGAGAGGCCUCUCAGCCUGCAAAGCCAGGAAUCACUCCAAGGAAGGUUUCGCUGCGGGAAAUCAGGUUCAACGGCCAAGGGGAGCUCAGGGGGUCCUGGGUGAGGGGGCAGGAACCCUCAGCAAGAGAGGGCGAUUUCUUCAUCACAAAAGAUUUCUGUGACUAAUCGACUCAAGUAAAUUGGGAGUGGAUGGGAGGAAAGGCUCUCGCUAUGUAGCCCAGACCGGCCUGAAACUUCUGGGCGAUUCUCUUUCCUCUGAGUGCUGAGAUCACGGGUGUGUGCCACCAGGCCCAUUUCUCCUGUCUCUCUGAGCACAGUCGCUUCACAGGCACCCGGAACACCUAAGCAGUAUGAUCCUCAAGGCUCAGAAGGAAAGCAAAAGUGAAGGAUUAACAAUAGGCUAGUGAGAUGGCUUCACAGACGAAGGCACCUGCAGCCAGGCAUGAAACCCUGAGCUCCGUGUCUGGGUCUCACACAGGGGAAGGAGAGAACAGAUUCCUGCAGGUUAUCCUUUGGCCUCCACGCCCAUCGUGAGUCCCAAGUUUGGCUUGUGACUCUCCCCCCACCCCCUCAGCUUCGGUGUUCCUGGGCAAGAUCUUCUCGUCCUGGCUGGGCUGAAGCUGGACUUGGGCCAAAAUCAGCAGGAGCUCGAUUCCCUGACUUGGCUCCAUGUUUUCUUUCCUGAACUCUGUGCUUUGUACGUAGUGUUUUUCCAGCAGUUCAAAGGUGUCUGACCUUCUGGGCGUGAAGACAAGUGCACUAAAGACCCACACAGGGAAUGACUCACACGGGGGUGGAUCCUGAAGCCCAGGGGUCCCUGCUCUGCUUGUAGAUAGAAUGAAUUGGGAUAUUUCUAGGAGAAGGAGGCUUAAAGUCUCUCCCUCUCUCUCACUGCUCUCAAGCUGGCCACAAACUUGGUGUGUACUUGAGGUGGCCUUUAACUCCUGAUUCUCCUGCCUCCACUCUUUGGGUGCUGGGAUUACAGGCAUGAACCAUCACACCCAUUUUAUGUGGUUCCAGGGAUGGAACCCAGGGUCUUCUCUACCAAAGGAGCCAUGCACACCAAAACCAGGCACUGCGAUGCUUGCCCUAACCUCAGCAUCGGGAAGGUAGAGGCAGAAGGAUCAGGGUCAUCCUCAGUUACGUAGUAAGCCAGACGACGACCGGCGAGACCUUGUCUCAAAGAAACCAAACAACUAGCCAACAUCAGUAAGCCAUCUGUCUAUUCUUGUCUGUUGGCUGGCUAUGGUUAUUUCCAGAAAGGAAUAGAAGUGUGGAGAAAAAGUCACACAAUUGGUAGGUAGGACUUGGGUCUGCAGGACAUGAAAUUCCAGGCCACGCUGAAACUCCCACAGCACCCUGUGUUCCUAUCCAGUCUUCCGUCCACUGACUAACCUCACUCUGAUGACUGAGUAGAUAGGCUCGGCUCAGAUGUGGGCGCUGACUCAGCUGUGACCACCCUGGGCUAUAGGGACCCACAGCCAGGGAGGGGCUCUUGGUGGGCGUCUUUACCCCAUUGCCAGCGCAGUGCCUGGAACACGGUGGCAUUCUGCACAUAUCUGUUGGGUGACCGAACCAAAGGGUGGGGGAGGAUUGUGGGUUAGAGAUAAAGGUUGUAGGGCAGAGGUUUGGGGGAGGUUGUGACACGCAGCUAAAUCCAUGGCCCUGAAAGUCCUCGACAGGUGGCUGGGAGGCACCUUGGCCACCGAUUGUACAGAAACAGGUUACAUCUGAAGAGAUGGUUCAUCGCCUUAGCAUCUCAGCCUCGAUAAACGACCCAGACUGUGCUCACGCUAAUCUGCUCAGGAGACUGGGUACCCUUCUAGCACCCUGACACAAACAAAAUUAAACACCUCAUCCUAACAGAGGGUUCCCCCUUUCGUCUGUAUUAACCAGGUUUGCCUUCGACCCCUUUUGUCUCCUCCCUCACCAGAGGCUGGCCUUUGUCCCUCUGAGACACACAUCUCCUCCUUCUCUCCCUUAUUCCCUUCCCCUUCUCCCACAUCCUCCAGCUCCUGUCUUUGUCUCUUAUUUCCUGUCCUUCGUCCCUCUGGGGCAAAUAAAUCUCUUUUGUGCUAAGAACCUUGUGCUGAAUACCUGCCCCUUCGAGUCACAGCUCACAAAAGCUGGGAACCUAGAGCUGUGGAGGAGAUGUGAGGAGUGGCUCCAGAGUAGGAGGGGCCCUGCGGGAAGAGCAAUGCCGCUCAGAGCCGGGGGCCCCAAAGACCACCGAGAGACCAGAUCCGGUGCAAAAACAAAGAGUCUUUUUUU